GGCAUAAAUCUCUGACAGCAGUGCCUCCAGCCUUUGCCCCUCAUGGCUGACUAGGCAGCAGUAAUCCAGGCUCUCUCCAGUCCUCACGUCUUCCUCGCUGGCCCCUCAGCACCUGGCCUGGCACAGUAAACAUGGAGACGCUGGAGGACACAGCCUCCCGAGCCCUCCUCUGUGCCCGCCGACCUGCCAUGGCAGGGGGCAGGUGCCUUCGCUGUCUUCUGCUAUCAGGGACAGCAGAGUCAGCUGACC
rnacentral:lncRNA from 1 species